UGGGUGCUGUGGGGGGUGGGGCAGUCUUGUAGGAUGGAACCCGUCACCUGUGGGAUCUCACCCCACAUCCAUGCAGAUGGCGUCAGGGUUGAGUUGAAUUACAGGACACCCGGCUGGUGCCUGAGAAUUGCUCAGAUGUAUGGGGAAAACCCUUGGGGCCAGGCAGGGCUCCUCUGGUCUGCAUGGAGCUCGCAGCAGAAGUACCCUUGUGGACAUGGUGCUAAACUCUCACCUGUUUCUGCAUAAAAAUACCCAAUAUAGCGUAUGUGGGAGUCAGGUUACGAAUUCUGUACCUGAGCCACCCCUACCCCCAGAAGUACCCCCCAAGCUGCAGUUUGGGCUGAUGGCUAGUGGGACCGCGUGGAGUGUAUCCCAAACUGUGGACACCACUGCUAAGUCCCUCCUGUAACCUUCUAGCCCAUGGAUAGCCCUGUCCUGGGGGCUUCCUGAGCAUGGCUGGUCCAAUCCCAAAUGACUCGGCUAAGUCUGCUGAAUGGGGGCUUCUGGAGUGACUAUGCCGGGGUACCCCGAGUCCUCCAUGGCUCUCCAUGGACAACUAUACUCCAUGCCGGACUCCAUCUCUGCUGCUGGCCACAGCCUCAGAUCUGCCUUUUCCAGCUGACGCCAGAGGUCCCACCUUCAAGCCCAGGUGGGGUCAAAGGGCAGGGCAGGGCAUUGGCACAUCCAUGGCUGUGCGCACACAGGCCAUUUCACCUUGCAAGGCACCCAGGGCUGCUCAGUGGGAGGACAAUGCAUGCAGGGUGGCGGCCAGAAGGGCCCACGCUCAGAUUGCGGUUUGAGACUCUUGAUGCAGUUUUUAGCAGGGCAUGAACAUUUUCAUUUUCCCUGGGAACCCUGUGACUGUCCCUCCGCUGUCAGAUACCAGGCGUUCUGCUGGGGACAGGACUCCUCUUCUAAGCUGGUCCCAUCCUGCCACCAUGUGGGCCGUGUGGAUGCCGGGCCCAGGCUCCCAGUGUUGCUCUGCUCCAAGCCUGACAGCCAAGUAGCCCCAAGGUGGAUGGUUAGCCACUGAGGGCCUGCCUCCUAUAAUGCCCCGCAGGCUGCCCGGACAUGAAGCCCCUCUCUGCUCCCCUGACCCGCUGGCCCCAGAGAGGUCUCAAGCUUCUGGGGACUUCCCCAGAGGGAAGCUCAUGUACUCUGGCCCCAGGCCACACCCUCCCUCAACUCAGGACAGCCCGUCAGGGCCUCGGGGCACUCACGUCACAGCCUCGGACAGCGUCCAUGGCCAGCAGGUCGUUGCCGUGGCGCAGCUGGAAGCGGACCACACCCUGGGCGGCCCGAAGCUCGCUCAGCUCCUGCUCUGGGACGGGGCAGCGGCCAGCCUCCCUGACCAGGUCCUGCAGCAGCAGUGCGUACUUGCCCAUGCGCUGCACCGGCUUCAGCAGGUGCCCCAAAUCCAGGACCGUGGUAACCAGAUGGCCAGAGCAACAGGAAGACCUUUCCGCCCACCAAGGGAGUUGCUAGCCAGACUCGCCCCAAGGGCAGGCAAGAUGAGUUUGCAUCUGAGCCCAAUGGGGUCUGAAUCCUCUACAGCACCUAAGAAUAGCAGGAGGAGUUGUUCCAGGGAUGUCGGAUGCCAGGGCUACACAGACUAUGAAAUCGGUCAUUCCACACCUCUGCCUGGUGUAGAAGGCCAUGACGGGGACAGAGUCCCUAGCCCUGCCCAGGCCUUCCCUGAUGCCUUAGAUCCCAUCAGGAAGAGCUGUGCUCCUGGGGAUUCUGGCCCCAGCAGCGUGACAGCCAGGCAGUUCCAGGGUACUGGUGAGUUUGCAUGGCAUGUGCUGUGCUGCAGCAACUGUUCUAGGGUCUCUGGCAAGAAGUAUACUUUUACAGCUGAGCUGAGAAGCACAGAAAAGUUCACGUGUUCAUUUUGCUUGUCCCUUUGGAACAAUAAGUUCCUCAUACAGUGGCUGAGAUCCCAGGGCAUGCUGUCGGGGGUGGGGUGCUGGCCACUUGUCCCAGGGUGCAGCUCACUCUGGCCUGCAGGGACAGCAUGCCCUCCAUGUCCAUAGCACAUGCAGAUCCCUUGGAGGUGAUUCCACGGCGGAUGUCAGACAGAUGGGCCCCUCAGGCCAGUGCUCCCUGCAUCCACUUAGCCCGGUGCUCAGGCACUGUCUGAAGUCCCAGAUCGCUUCCUCUGCUGUAGCCCAUGAAGAAACUACCAGCAUCAGCCUGGUGCUCACUCUGUUUCUAUGUGUGUCUUCUGGUGUGGACACUCCAUCAGCUGGCUUUGGAAGGUCUAGAACCCGCGCCGCCGCUGCCUGUUCUUCAGGCAGAGCAGCUCCAAGAGGCCAGGAAUUCCUCUCCUCUUUCAAAUCAUAAUUUGAUCUAUUCAGGAGAAGAAUUUUGUAUUUUUAAAUGUGUGAAGGUUCCAUGGUCAUGGGGGAAGGGAGCAUCAGACACACUCAGGAGCUGGUUCGCACGGCUGUGCACCCAUCCUGAUGCAAACCAGCCGCGCACUCGGAUGUAUCAUCAGUGGCUGCACAGCAUCAUUGCCUCUCAGUUUGUAACCGCUGUUUCUACCUAUGGGCCCCUUUCAGUCUGUGGAUGGGAAUCAACAGGUCUUCAUGGCUCAAGGGUGUAACUGGGCAGGCUGUUUGCAGGAAAUGGAAAUAAGAUAAUUGAAAUAUGGAUCCAGAACUUUCCAUCUUGCAACUUGUUGCUAUGCAAAAUAUAUCCCAGAGAUACUCUUUAGGUGGUGGCACAAGGACACUCUGGGGCUGUCUGGGAGAGCUGGGGUGUGGAGGGGGGCAAUGGCAGCCCUGCCCACCCCACAGCUUCCCGUAGCAACAUCGUUCAUUCACAGUGAACACGUCCCGGGUUAGGACUUCAUUUUUAUGCAUUUUCUCCUUGGACAGCAACGCCAGGGGUUGUUAGGGACCACAGAAGAGGUGAUGGAUCUACGGCCACUGAACUCUACUGUGACCCGAUGCACAGGCAGAGGAGAGACAUCAGAGCACACACGCUUCGUAGACAGAGUAAUAGAGAAAAAUGUCAAAUCUGGGUUUUUACAAACAUGACCUGAGAACCUCUGGAUAGAAGAGCAGGAAAUGGUCAACGGAGCAGAGACCCCUCAGGGCUGAAGUCCCACCUCUAGCCUCACAAAAAGAAAUUCUGGUUGGUUUGAAGAUAUAAAUGGAAAAAUUCAAACCAUAAAAGUUUUAGGGUGGAAUGCAUCAAUCGUUCUGUGACCUUAAGGUAGAAAUUUCAAUCCUAGGCAAAGCUGAAGGACAAUCACAAACCAGGGAAGAUGUUCACCAUGUGACCAGAGACUGGAGUACUUACCUGGCCUCGUCCCUCCUGGAGCAUCCUUAUUUCCCGUAGCCUCUCCAGCUCCUGCAGACAUCUGUUGGAGGUGAGGACCAGCCCAUGGACCUCUUCGUCCACUUGGUUGUACAACCUGGAGGCGACCUUGAUGGCAUCCCUGGAAGAGAAAGUGUCAGAAAACCAAGUCCUGACCACUAGUUGUUCAUGGCAAUCACCCGAGGAAUAUGCUGUUGGUGACAACCUAGUUAAAAAGGGAAAACUGCACUCUUUACAUCCUUACAUCUAACACAAAAGGGGAUGCUCCAAGGAGGUCCACAGCCAGAGCAGGAACAGGAACAUGCCUGGGAACCACGGGUGCAUGCCUCAGAGGUGGUAGGAAAAAGUGGUGGGUGGACAGGGCUCCCCAGGACAGAAUUAGACAGAGAAGCAUUCAGUCAGGACCUCUACUGAAUCCAUUAUGGUGGGUUUGCCUUCCACUUGAGCAUUCCAAGGAAUCUACUACAUUUUUUGGAGGAUAAAAACAUAGAUAGACUUUGGUCCAAUGUGUGCCCAUGGGAAAGAAUGGAGGUUUGGACCCCUGGGAGCUGUUGCAUGUGACAGAAUUGGACAUCUUCCCCGGGGAUGGGCUGCCCUAGCACGACACUCACUGGUAGUCUUGGCUGCUGCCAAGCUGCUCCCUCUUCAGCCGUGCCAGCAUGGUGCCACCUUCUAGCCGGAGGGCAACCAGUAGUGCAUCUUCCAGCACACACUUCAUCAUUGCCUUAUGCUUGUUGAUUAAGUCUGUGACCUCCUGCAUGGGGUGGGAGAAGCAUACAUAGAACCCUCUCUUCCAUGGGGAGUGGACCUAUAUUCUUGUGC